CCUCAGGAGUCAAGACAGAGAAGUGGACAUACAACAUCCGGUAUCCCUCCAGUGAUGAGGAGGAAGACUCCGCAGGCCACCUUUUAAUGAUCCUAGCUCUG